GCCAGCGUAGCUUAGUAAAAGCAUGACACUGAAGAUGUCAAGACGAGCCCUAAGAAGCUCCGUAAGCA
rnacentral:tRNA from 1 species